UACAGAGGUCUCAAGCGUUGUUCGGAUUCAUUGGGCGUAAAGGGUGCGUAGGCGGCGCGGUAAGUCGGGUGUGAAAUCUCGGAGCUUAACUCCGAAACUGCAUUCGAUACUGCCGUGCUUGAGGACUGGAGAGGAGACUGGAAUUUACGGUGUAGCGGUGAAAUGCGUAGAUAUCGUAAGGAAGACCAGUGGCGAAGGCGGGUCUCUGGGACGGUACUGACGCUGAGACGCGAAAGUGUGGGGAGCGAACAGG
rnacentral:rRNA from 1 species